GUGCCUAAUACAUGCAAGUAGAACGCUGAGAACUGGUGCUUGCACCGGUUCAAGGAGUUGCGAACGGGUGAGUAACGCGUAGGUAACCUACCUAUAAGACUGGGAUAACUUCGGGAAACCGGAGCUAAUACCGGAUAAUAUUUUGAACCGCAUGGUUCAAAAGUGAAAGACGGUCUUGCUGUCACUUAUAGAUGGAUCCGCGCUGCAUUAGCUAGUUGGUAAGGUAACGGCUUACCAAGGCAACGAUACAUAGCCGACCUGAGAGGGUGAUCGGCCACACUGGGACUGAGACACGGCCCAGACUCCUACAGGACGCAGCAGUAGGGAAUCUUCGGCAAUGGGGGCAACCCUGACCGAGCAACGCCGCGUGAGUGAAGAAGGUUUUCGGAUCGUAAAGCUCUGUUGUUAGAGAAGAAUGAUGGUGGGAGUGGAAAAUCCACCAAGUGACGGUAACUAACCAGAAAGGGACGGCUAACUACAUGCCAGCAGCCGCGGUAAUACGUAGGUCCCGAGCGUUGUCCGGAUUUAUUGGGCGUAAAGCGAGCGCAGGCGGUUUUUAAGUCUGAAGUUAAAGGCAUUGGCCCAACCAAUGUACGCUUUGGAAACUGGAGAACUUGAGUGCAGAAGGGGAGAGUGGAAUUCCAUGUGUAGCGGUGAAAUGCGUAGAUAUAUGGAGGAACACCAGUGGCGAAGGCGACUUUCUGGUCUGUAACU
rnacentral:rRNA from 1 species